AAACCUUUUUUUUAAGGGGGGGGGGUUUUUUUGUUGUUUCCCCCCCCCCCCCCCCCCCCAGUAAUUACAACUGCAGCACGGGCUGCUGCUGGGCCCAUUUGCAUAAACAGUUUAGCAACUGUGCUGCCUCUAAAUGGGGCCGCUACCGGGGCUGCUUUGCAUAAUGCGCCGCUUCCCCGACCCCAUCCCGGCCUAAUUGGCCUAAUUGGCCUGACGAGCCGGGACCUCCCGAACCCGGGUCAGCCCUGGGGGUCGCUGCCCCUGCCCGCGGAUUGCGACUCCGGCCCCGGGGUGGAUAAAUGCUGCCCCCGCUGCGGGAGGGAGAUGUGCGGGGCUUCAAGCACCUGCAGCUCCCCUGGCUCCGCCACCAGCCUGCCACGUCCCCGGCACCGUCCCUGCCUCUGCGUGGCCACCGUGCCGCCGCCACGUGCCGGCACUGCGGGGUGGGCAGCGCCGGUGCCCCCGCGUCGCGCCGGCGAAGCCCAGCGGGACCCCGGGGACGGAUGGUGCCGUACGGCCGCAAACAGUCGGCACCUGGGGAGAAGCCGGCAGCCUCUCCGACGAGGAACGCAUUCGAGGGGAGAGAAUUACACCUUGACGAGAGGAAAUUUUUGCCUACAGAUUAAACGCGUCGCUCCCUUUGGCUGGAGACUGAACCUGAGCCGAGCGCGGCCGCAGCCCGGGUGGGCACGAGGGGGCCGCUGGCGCUGCUCGGCUGCUGCCCCCGGCCGGGGCUCGGCACAGGGGGGGCUCCUCCGGCAGCGCUGCCCCCUCCCAGCUCCGCGGGGAGCUGCGGCCUGGCGCUGCUGCGGCAAACUGCUGACACAUCAGCCGAAACCUCUAAUUAAAACCAUAAUGAUAAAGGAAAAAUGUGGGCUACGAGGCAAUCAAUAACGGAACAAAACGCGCUCCUGCCAGGGCUUGUUUCCUCGGACUCAGGUCCCCGAGGGGCUUCGCAAAGCCGUGAUCUGGAUGCGAGCUGCGAGCGCUCGCAGCGGGAUCGUCCGCCUCCCCCCCGUCCUCCCAGCACAGCCCUGCAUGGGGGGGACACAAAGGGGACACCCAGAGCGCCGGGGGACAAACGGCCCGGCACUGCUCAUCCAUUUUCUCUCCACCACGUUAAUCAACGGCGAGAGAAGCUGCACGGCUGUUGGACUCCAGCAACGGCAGCAGAGGUCGGCUCCGUCCCCACGGGGUGGGGGCUGGCGACGGGGAGGGACCGGCCCCCAAAAUCCAGCACCCGCAGGGGGUCCCUGCCUAGCGCCGCCGGGUGCUGUUGUCUGCCCAGGCGAUGUGCCCGCGGUGCUGUAAGGGAACGGCCGCGCCGUCCUGCGUAAUGGGUCGCGUGCUACGAGCCGGAGAGGUGACCGCAGGGAGCAGUACCGGUGACAGCACGCCGUAAUUCCCGGCGUCGUCCCAGCCAGGCCGGCUGAGCCGGGCUGUCUCGGCGGAGCCGCGUGCGUGCCGGAGCUGCACCACGCAGGGUUGAGCGCCGUGCCCGGCGUGCUCGUGGCACCCAAGCGCGUGAACGCCGGCUGCCGGUGUGCUCCAGGAGCCCGCGGCGCUGCCAGCGGUCACUUCCCUGCCGGGUCCCGCUCCACCUUGCCAGAAUCAGGGGAAAAAGCUGCUAAAAAUGUGCUGGCACCGGAGCCCCAGCAGUACGGGCUUCCUGCCUGACUGCAUGGCACGGCGUGGUGCGGCACAGCGUGGCACGGCACGGCACGGCAUAACUUGGCACGGCAUAACACGGCUCGGCACAGCACGGCACAGCGUGCCACGUGCCUCCCCAGCUUCCCACCCUCUGCUCUCCCAGCCAGCGUGACAUCUGCGUGUCCCCGGGGGGGACACGACACCUGCAUGUCCCUGGGGGACACACAACACCUGCGCGGCCACCGGGCGCCGGGGACAGGGUGCGGACACGCACGCACAGGGCAGGGGACAUUGGCUCCCAGCCCAGCACAGCGAGGAGCAAAGCCUUCCUGUCCCCCGACCUCGUCCCUUUCCAGAUACAGCAUCACCAUCCUGUCCCCAUUCCCGUCCCCAUCCCAUCCCCAUCCCUGUCCCCGUCCCCUUUUCCAUCACCAUCCUGUCCCCAUCCCUGUCCCCAUGCCAUCCCCAUCUACAUCCCCAUCACCAUCCUGUCCCCAUCCACAUCCCCGUCUCCAUCACCAUCCUGUCUCCACCCCUGUCACCAUCUUAUCCCCAUCCCCGUCCCCAUCCCUGCCCCUGCGUGGCCAAAGGGCUCUCCUCUUGCAUUAAGCCCCAGCGCCUACAACGCACGAGCGAAGGAGAAGGGGAGGCGAGGCAAAAAAAAAGGGGGAAAAAAAAUAAAAGAGCUGCUUUCUGCUCA
ensembl:lncRNA